rnacentral:rRNA from 1 species
GAUGAACGCUAGCGGCAGGCCUAAUACAUGCAAGUCGAACGGGAUCUGAGGGUAGCUUGCUACCCGAUUUGAGAGUGGCGCACGGGUGCGUAACGCGUGAGCAACCUACCCAUAUCAGGGGGAUAGCCCGAAGAAAUUCGGAUUAACACCGCAUAAUAAUACGCUAACACAUGUUGAUGUAUUUAAAUAUUUAUAGGAUAUGGAUGGGCUCGCGUGACAUUAGCUAGUUGGUAAGGUAACGGCUUACCAAGGCGACGAUGGCUAGGGGCUCUGAGAGGAGAAUCCCCCACACUGGUACUGAGACACGGACCAGACUCCUACGUGAGGCAGCAGUAAGGAAUAUUGGGCAAUGGACGCAAGCCUGAACCAGCCAUGCCGCGUGCAGGAUGACUGCCCUAUGGGUUGUAAACUGCUUUUGUUAGGGAAUAAACCUUCUUACGUGUAAGGAGCUGAAUGUACCUAAAGAAUAAGGAUCGGCUAACUCCGUGCCAGCCGCCGCCGUAA